GCCUCAAAACGCCAUGACUGUCAUCUGCAUUCUGUAUUUCUGUAGGCUGUAGGCUUUAGGCUGUAGCUCUCCAUAGCGCCCAAUAUACUCCCCCUCCUUCUCUCUUUACACUCUACUAUCUUUCCAAUUUCCAAAACCCUAAGGCGUUCCAAUUUCCAGAACCCUUCCUUCUCUCUCUACACUUCAACUCUUUUCCUUUCCACACCAACUUGUGUAUACGUAUCAUCUGUAUAUUUAGAUAGACAGCCGUUAUGUCCUACAAGUAUCGGUGAACUGAUCGAUCAUCCGCCUCCGGUGCAUGUACAACACCAUCGCUCUCCAACUUUCUCUCAGAGUUGGCUACUUGUGCCCGGAUUUUGGGCGCACCUACGGUCAUUUCCAGAGCCCAAUGGAUAUGCGUGAGGCACUUCUGGUAGAGGAUGAAAAGGAAGGGAUCAGAAGAAGAAUUAUAGCAGAAGAGAUUGAUCGAGUAAGGAUCUUGAAUGCUGAACUAAGGAGGGAGCCUAUGAUGCCAAGGGUUGGGAGGUUACCUCCUUCUUCUUCUGGAGGAUUCUUGAUGGGGUUUGAACCUAGGUUCCCACCUCUGGAACAACAGCCGCAGCAGGUUCAGGAAAGAAUGGUAAUGCCGUCUGGUGAGAGGCUGGGUUUGGGGAUUUCAAGUGCUGGAAUGCCUGCAAGUCGUGAAUUUGGUUAUGUUGAGAUGGUGCCAUUUAAGGAGCGAAGGGUUGAAUUAAGCAGUUCAGAGGUACCUUUUGAACAACGGAGUGUGACACCAAUGGUCUCAGAGAUGCCUUCUAAGAACCAUGGUGUACAAUCUCGAAUUUUGGAGUUGAAGCCGAAGCCUCCCUCUAACCCUGAGCAGAUGAGUAAGGAACUAAACAUUUCAGGGGUGGGCGCCACCACUGAGCAUGACAAAGAGAACGACAAAUUGCUGGCUAAGCCUAAUGUAAAUCUCUCAGGAGUGAAGCGGAGGGAAGAAAUGGCAGCAGAAGCGGUUAGAAGCAGUGAUCUCCCAACAAAUGGAGUCCCAAAGAAGAAAAUUAAAAAUGGGUGGGGUUGUGCACUUUGCCAGGUUAGUGUGACAAGUGAGCGUGACCUGAACUCACACCUAAAAGGAAGGAAACACAAACACAAGUCUAUGGAGGUUGCUUUGACAGCACAGGGGAAUGGGAAGAGUUUAAGAACUGGUGGUUUCCCCGAGGAACACAAACCACUUAACCUUGAUGCCACACUAGAUGUUCCAAUGGCUGAGAAAAAACAGAAAACGGGAGAAACUGCCAGCAUUCCUGAAGGUAAAGAUGCUACAUUGUUGCAGAUUGAGCAUAAUGCAGACAACUCAAGGAAUGAUAAAGAGGAAGCUGGAAAAGGUGCUGAAAAGGUUUAGCAAAUGCUGUUUAAUGGAGCCAUCAUCAAAGUGUCAACCCAGAAGAUUAGAUUCUUAGCUUGCAGCAGACCAUGAAAUUCUCAAGCAGCAAAGAAGAAUUUUUUGCAUAGAUCUCAAAUUAGGGUGCUCUUAAACAAGAAAUCAUCUAAUUCGUGAAUAUGCAAGUCAUGCAAUAGGUAUGACUUUUGACUUUGAAACAUCCUUGGCAUAAUUGCAUGCAUCUAAAAGUCCCCCUCUAAAUGCAGAGGAGAAAAAUAUUGAUUAAGUAGUGCAAAGCUUGACACUUGAGUACUAGUAUUUAGAAUAUU